GGUCAGCCAUCAACUCAAGAAUGCUGCUCGCUUGUCCAAGGUUUGGUUGACCUCGAGGCCGCAGUUUGUCUCUGCACUGCUCUUAGGGCUAACGUUCUUGGAAUCAACCUUAACGUUCCUAUAUCUCUCAGCGUUCUUCUCAACAAGUGUAACAAGAAGGUUCCAUCUGGUUUCGAAUGCACUUGAUUCAGUUUCCUCUUCAAAAUAUUUACUGUUUGAAUAAAUGCAUGCAAGCUAGAGAGUUUAAUGUUUAAAUGUUAUUUGUUUGUGAUAUAAUAAAUGUGUGAGAGUUUUGUAGUUUUUUUUUUUUUUUGCUGGUAAACGUUCCCCGUGGUGGUUGUAUGUUUUUGUAGCUAUCUAUUUCUAUUUUCACUCUGUAUAAUGCAUAUAUUAUUUAAUCAAUGUCUUAUUUUCAAGUACUCAUUUGGAUGGCUAUUACACAAUAUUGACAAAAUUCAUAUCAUAGAAUGCUUUUACUCUUUGGAGAGUUGAUUUCUACUGGAAAAAUUUUGAUCACUAUGAUAUUCGGCAACACAAUAUAAAUCUCGUUUAUAAAAACAAUCCUUAUUAGAUUGUGAUUAGUACUCAUCCUAAAAUCGUAUUGAAAAAUUAAACAAAGAUUAGUCCUUUCUCCAGAAUUGUGGUGUAGUUGAACAUUAUAGUUAUAUAUUGAUGUAGCGCCUCUGAUACCAAAUGUUGGAGUGAGAACUUUAAAAAGAUAGAAUAGUAAUCCGUUAAUUCUGAAAAUAUCCAAAAAAUAUGAUAAUUGCAAAAUUAUUUGUUUAGUCUAAGAAUCUCCGAAUAAAUCAAAUCUUUUAAGAUUCGUUGAAAUAUUUUUAGAUCUACCAAAAACAAGGAACAAAAAGACGAAAACUCAAUUCUAUUAAUUAAUCAAAAACUGAAUACAAGGUCUAAACGACUUAUUUAUACUAAAUUCAAAACACUAGAAAACUCUAAAACAAUAAAAGAAAAUUAUCUAAAUAAUUAAAGAUAUAAUUAAGAUAUUUGAGAUAUUUUCAAAUAUCUUUCUGCAACAUAUAUUCAGCUGAGAAUGAACAGUUCGGUAAUCACUUAUCAAUAAAGUCCGAUAAUUAGUUAAGACAUGUACAUUUUAAUCUUGUUUGUCCAAAGAAUUGCGGUUAAGGUUCAAUGAUGUAUAUGUGCUUUCAUUAUCUAUGACCGAGAGAUCUCGGCCGAGAAUAUAUGUGGUCAACUGGUCAUGAGUCUUUGAGGCCUUAACCGAAUUUUUUUUGUAGUUUGUACCAGAGUCAAUUAAGGUUAUGACUGAGAAGCAUUAUUUCUUGGCCGAAUGAAUGAUAACUUGUUUUUAAUUUUUUAUUGUUAAUUAUACGUAUAUAUCUCAUGAUUAGAAUUUUUAAGAAAACGUUAUUGUGUGUUUUUUUUUCAACAAUAUGCAUUAUAAUGAAUUUGAAUUAAUGGGAUGACGCAGUGAUAAAACGAACAGAAACCACUACAUUAUAUGUAAUGGCCAAUGCUUUAUUUUUAUAUUCAUAAAAAUGAAAAGUUCAUGUUCGGGUAGUAUGCCUCGUGUUGAUGUGAUUGAUUGUAAGUUUCAUUAAGCUCAAUGCCAGAAGUAAGUUGACGUAUGUGGGGAAACUAGAAAUUUGGAGCCAGUUUCGCUAAGAUAUUUACGAAUAUAGUCGCGAUUUGAAAAUAAUGAGUCAAAGAGAUCAAAGAUGGUUAACACUUCGUAUGUACUAAUAUAAUCUUGGGGUUUCAAUAGUUGAAUAUGUAAAUCGAAUAACAUAUACAGUAUAUAUAAUGCUUAGAAAGAUUAUGAUAAACAUGUCAAAAAUAGGACCUAAGAAUUUUGUGUUUUAUCUCAAUUUUUCUUAAUUAUUUAGUACUAUCUGCAAUAAACAAAAUAUAAUCAAAUUAAUAAAUAAUUUUAAAAUAUGAGUUCUCUAAUAGCUAAGUUUUAAAUAAAUGAAAACUACAAAACUGUUGACAGAAAAACAAUACAAAGCAACAUUAGUAACAUAGCUAUUAUGUAGGAAGGCCAUAUAUAACUAUAUACACAUUAAACAUAAAAGAACAUGCUAUUUAAAACUAUUUCGAAGACCAUACUUACCACCUUGGUGGAAAGAUAACUAUCUGAUAUAUCUGGAAUGAAAAUGAAAAUGAAGUUUACCCAUACGUGUGAGAUAAUUAAGGUAAAAAACUGGGAAAAAGAAGUAUCAAAUAGCUGCCCAAAAAGAAAAAAAUUAAAAUCUUUCAUACCCACUUGCUAAUUUUUCUUGAUCUUAGUUUCUCGUGACGAAAGUUCAAAAUAACAUUUCUUUUUUUUUUAACGUUUUUAACUAUCUUGUGGUCCUAGUUUCUUUGUAAAACAUAUUUCUUUGAGGGAAAAUAGUUUUAUUGACUUUAUGAAAGAGUAAACCAUUUGGACCCCAGAGCUUAAUUCAUACGAUAUGUCCAAAUAUUUAAACCUAUUGAGAUAUUUACGUAAAGCAUUGUAGAAGAAAACAAAAUUAUGGUCGACAAUGUCUACAUAGAAUGACGAAUUAACAGAAGACGAUCAUUAACCAUCAACGAGAUAUGGACUAGUAAGCUUGAGAUGUCCAAUUACUUGUUUUGGCCGAAGACAAACACGUCAUUUUGAAUUUAUUGUAAAAUAUGUAUCUAAGUUAUCUAAAUAUAUGAGUAUCAAAGAUAUGUAUCUAAAUAAGGAUUGGACUCCGAGUUCGUAAUAUUUUGACUUUAUUGUAAAAUAGAGACACAAGUUGAUAUAACCAGAAUGCGAGACACGAGAUGAUGUGUGGUUUACAAUUUUAUAAACACUUUUAAAAAAAAAUGAAUGUAACAUUAAUUCAAAUCCAAAAAAAUCGUUCUACAAAUGAAUGUGUCCUUUUGUUCGAAGAAAGAGAAAUAUUUUUACAUUAAUAUUGUCAUUAGGAUCUUAGGAUGGCCGAAAACCAAACUAUAUAACUAUUUCCUCAUCGUAUGUGGUAUUACCUGCAUUCUGAAUAGAUCAGAUAAGGUUCUCAGUUCUCACAUUCUUAUUUUUAGAAACAUCUUAUUUUUUAUAUGAAUCACUUAAUAAUUUUUUGAAUUAUAACCAGGUUUACUUUUUUUGUCAACUUUGAUAUUUAAUUUUGAAUUAAACAAAAGAUUUAGUAAACCAAACUGGAGUAGCAAAAUUUACAUAUAAAAAGUAGCAUUAUAAGUCAAACAAUAAACAUUACCAUUUAUAUUGCGUGAUAUAUAGAAGUAUAAAUGCCAAUUUAGAGAAUUACGAUUUAUUAAAUUCUAAGAUCAAUUAUCUGGUCAAUAGUGUUCGUAUGCUAGAACUCUGAAUUAUGAAUUCCGAAUAUGCUUGGCUUGGCUUGGCUUGCCAAUGCCAAUCCGAGUUAUUUAUUUUUUUAAAUUAAAGUUGACAAAAAAUUGAAAAAACGAACCUAUCCAAACCAAAUAAUUGACUUGAUGAUAGUUGGUCUAACCAGACCAGGUUGUUGUUUUUUUUAAACACGGAAAUUAUAUCCUGACCAUAAAUUGUCAUAUCCUGGAACAUUGUCCGGUCCGAUGGACUUCACCAAACAUUUCAAAGCAAAUUUUUGACCAUGUGAAUUUGUAAUGGACUAAUUACAAAAGAUCACAAAAAAUAUUUUUCCAAAUGUUGGAACUACUCUGCACGUCUCUCAGUGACAUUUAUAGUGAGUUUCAAUAAAACCUAAGGAUCCUCUUGAAAAUAUAACAAAACUCAUUACAAAAAAAAAAGAAUAUAUCAUCUUCCAUAUGCCUAUAUCUCCGAAGUGUCUGAUAAACAGAAAACUCAAAUCGAAAGAAGGCUUGUUCAUUGUCGAGAGAUGAUCUCUGGUGCAUGGGAGAAGCGCAGCCCAGGUUCUUCCAAAUGUAUCCCUAAUUUUAAGCUAAUGCACGAACCUGAUUUAAGUGAACAAAAAUCUAUCAUUUAUGUUCAGUUAUGAUUUUCGAAUUGUUCUACGUACGUUUUAGGUUUUUGACCCCAAGAAAAAAAAAGAAAAGAAUUUAUCAUAUAUAGAGGUAUCAACCAAAUUAGACACAUCUGUUUUGAGAAUUAAAAAAAAAACUAUGUAACAAUCUAGUUUGUAGUUUUAUGAAAUCUAAUUUGUAUUUUUUUGUCUUUUUUGUUUUUCAGUAAAAAUAUCUGAGGAGAUUAUUCGAUGCCAGUAACUCAACUGGUAUAACACUUGGUUACCCAAAAAAGAGUUGAGAAGAUCUCAGGUUAGAAAUGAGUGAUUAAUUUAACUUGAUCUACUCUUUCAACCCGGAGAGAUUAUAGAAGUAUAGAACUAAGGUCCAAGCUUCUUGGUUAAAAAGACAAAAAAAUUAAUCCAAAAAAUAUAAUUAGAUAAAUAAGUAAUCUGAAUAAUACAUAAUACAAGGGCAGAGGACUUCCAGCAAAUUUUGUACUAGAUUAUAUUGUCUGUCCUAUUAAGGAUGUUUACAAAAAAAAUACAAAGCGUGUCCUAUUUAGGAUGUUAACGUUGCCUAUCUAGUACGUUUCCUAAAAGUAGUACGUGGUAUCAGCUCUACUUAUGGAAAUACGGCUCAACUUUCUGCGGACGACAACGUAUAAAAGUGUCUGGCUUCUUGGAAUCGGUAGUUUUAGAUUUGAUGUGAUAAAGAUAUGUCAAUUAGGAACGGAUCCCAAUCAUGUUAAAUUUUCUGAUUUAGGGUAUGAUUGGUAACACUGCAGAAUUGCAGAAUUACAAAAAAUAAUCUUGCGGGAUAAAAUAAUCUCGUUCAAACUUGCUUUUUUGCAUAAUGAUUUUUUGUUUUUGUAUUUUUGUAAGUAAAAACACAAGAUUUUUUUUUAUUCUGCAGAUAUUUGUUGAUUGGCAAAAUAUUUGUAUAAUCAUGUUUAAGAACAUAAUUUUACUAUUUCACAGAUUACCAAUCAGAGUCUAAUGUUGAGAGAUCAACUGAUCUGUAAUGUUGGUUGGGCUCAAUCGGUCAAUUUUUAACCUAGAAUUUUGAAGUCUACGUGUUUUUUUGGUAUAUUUUUUUCUAUGUUUCAUGAAUUUUUAGUUGUACUCAGUUUAAUAACACUAAAAUGUUUUAUACAAAAAUCAAUAGGAAGAAAAGAGAAUUGCAUAUAUUUUUCACGACCUUUGUCGGUUACUUUUUGGUAAUUUUUUUUGUUUGGUUAUCUAGUGAAGGUGGUGAUAAUAACAUUAACGACAACUUGACAAUAAUACUGCAUAUAAUAUGAAUUAAGAAAUCAAACAUUCCUUUUAAUUAUAUAUAAAAAAAGACAUUCCAAAUUAUUUCGAGGUUCGGUUCUACGUAUCUACACAAAGAGAACAAAAAAAGGAUUCAGAGUUUGUAUAUGUAGAUAAACACAGAUAAAAGACCGGAUAUUUUGUUAGAAUGAAAAAAUAUAUAAUUAUUUAUACUACAACAAGUUGGUCCUCUUCACAUCCUUGUAAAACCCUAUAAAAUACCAACACCUUCCCUUCAUUUCUAUCCAUCUCUCUCUCGCUCAAACACAGUCAAUAAUCCUUACUAAACUGAAUCUAUCUUUUGAAAUAAGAUGGCUUCAAAGAACUCAGCCUCACUUGCUCUUUUCUUUGCACUCAACAUCCUCUUUUUCACCUUAACCGCUGCAACUGAUUGCUGCAGUCCUAAGCCGAAGCCCAAACCUAGUCCUAAGCCUAAGCCGGUCUCAUGUCCUCCGCCCCCCAAGCAUGUCCCAAGUCCAUCGGUCCCAAGUCCUAACCCUAGGCCUGUCCCACCUCCUAGCACCCCUGGCUCAUCCCAAAACUGUCCUAUAGAUGUCCUCAAGCUCGGUGUAUGUGCAAAUGUCCUAAGCGGCCUACUCAACAUACAGUUGGGUCAGCCAUCAACUCAAGAAUGCUGCUCGCUUGUCCAAGGUUUAGUUGACCUCGAGGCCGCUGUUUGUCUCUGCACUGCCCUUAGGGCUAACGUUCUCGGAAUCAACCUUAACGUUCCUAUAUCUCUCAGCGUUCUUCUCAACAAGUGUAACAAGAAGGUUCCAUCUGGUUUCGAAUGCACUUGAAUCAGCUAUGCACACGACGCCGCACACAG
rnacentral:lncRNA from 1 species